rnacentral:rRNA from 1 species
UACGGGGGGGAGCAAGCGUUGUUCGGAUUUACUGGGCGUAAAGGGCGCGUAGGCGGCGCAACAAGUCACUUGUGAAAUCUCCGGGCUUAACCCGGAGCGGCCAAGUGAUACUGUCGUGCUAGAGUGCGGAAGGGGGCUACUGGAAUUCUCGGUGUAGCGGUGAAAUGCGCAGAUAUCAGGAAGAACACCAAUGGCGAAGGCAGCUCUCUGGGACGGUACUGACGCUGAGACGCGAAAGCGUGGGGAGCGAACAGG